rnacentral:rRNA from 1 species
UGGGUGAAGUUGGUGAUCUAGUACUGUCGAGAAAAGCCUCUAGCGAUGUGGAUGUAUGGCCCGUACCCUAAACCGACACAGGUGGUCAGGUUGAAAAUACUAAGGCGUUCGGGUGAACUGUGGUUAAGGAACUCGGCAAAAUGCCCCCGUAACUUCGGGAGAAGGGGGACCACACGACUUAAGCCAACUGUGCGUUGGUGGUGGGUUGUGGGGUCGCAGAGAAUAGAGGGAAGCGACUGUUUAUCAAAAACACAGGUCCAUGCGAAGACGUUAAGUUGAUGUAUAUGGACUGACGCCUGCCCGGUGCUGGAAGGUUAAGAGGACCGGUUAGUAGUCUUUGACUGCGAAGCUGAGAAUUUAAGCCCCAGUAAACGGCGGUGGUAACUAUAACCAUCCUAAGGUAGCGAAAUUCCUUGUCGGGUAAGUUCCGACCUGCACGAAUGGCGUAACGACUUCUCUGCUGUCUCAACCACAGGCCCGGUGAAAUUGCACUACGAGUAAAGAUGCUCGUUACGCGCGGCAGGACGAAAAGACCCCGGGACCUUCACUAUAGCUUGGUAUUGGUGUUCGGUUCGGUUUGUGUAGGAUAGGUGGGAGACU